CAAAAACACAGAAGGGAGAAAAAUACAGAGGCAGUGCGGCGCCAGCUAGAGGAAAAUAUUAAACGGCAGAUGAAGAGGUGAAAUUGAUAAAAUCGGCCAGCUGCUGGGAAAAAUUGGGGGCUGCAAUCCAUAUAUUUAUAUAUACCAAUAGAAAAACGGAAGAAAAAGGGAAGUCAGCCGAAAGCAUAAGGGAAGAUAUUAACGGCAGAUUGGGUGGCGGAAUUAAAAGAAAAAGUCGACCAGCUUUGGGAGUGAUAUUGGGCGGUUGUUUCUGGGGGUUGAAUUGAGUAUAAUAUAUGCACAGAAAUGCGGAAUCAAGGAGAGAAAAUGGCUGGAAUUGAGCUGCUGAAUUGGUGGGCUGCUUUGUUGAAUUAAAAGGGUGCUGAAGAGAAUAAUAUAUCAUAUAUGCACGGCCAGAAAGACAGCAGUUUGGAGACAGAAUUGGGCUGAAAUUUUGAUACGUAUAUUAAUCACGUUUCAUCGAUUUUUGGUGACAUCUUUUACCCUUUCUUUGUUUAAUUUCAAUAUUAUGCUCGGCUAAAUUAUUUUGUGCUAGGAUUUGUGAUGAACCUUAUAUUAUGGACCUUUAAUCUUGAAUUUUAUUUAUUUUGACAUUAAA
rnacentral:lncRNA from 1 species